rnacentral:rRNA from 1 species
UGAGACAGUUCGGUCCCUAUCCGUCGCGGGCGUAGGAAAUUUGAGAGGAUCUGCUCCUAGUACGAGAGGACCAGAGUGGACUUACCGCUGGUGUACCAGUUGUCUUGCCAAAGGCAUCGCUGGGUAGCUAUGUAGGGAAGGGAUAAGCGCUGAAAGCAUCUAAGUGCGAAGCCCCCCUCAAGAUGAGAUUUCCCAUGAUUUUAUAUCAGUAAGAGCCCUGAGAGAUGAUCAGGUAGAUAGGUUAGGAGUGUAAGUGUAGCGAUACAUGUAGCGGACUAAUACUAAUAGCUCGAGGAC